rnacentral:rRNA from 1 species
AGUUACUGCUAUCGAGGUUCGACUAAGCCAUGCGAGUCGAAUGUAGCAAUACAUGGCGUACUGCUCAGUAACACGUGGACAACCUGCCCUUAGGACGGGUAUGAACCCGGGAAACUGGGUAUAAUCCCCGAUAGGUCUCGACUGCUGGAAUGCAUUGAGAUCUAAAGCUCCGGCGCCUAAGGAUGGGUCUGCGGCCUAUCAGGUAGUAGUGGGUGUAGCGUACCUACUAGCCUACGACGGGUACGGGUUGUGAGAGCAAGAGCCCGGAGAUGGAUUCUGAGACACGAAUCCAGGGCCUACGGGGUGCAGCAGGCGCGAAAACUUUACAAUGCUGGCAACAGCGAUAAGGGAACCUCGAGUGCCAGGUUACAAAUCUGGCUGUCGAGAUGCCUAAAAAGCAUUUCAUAGCAAGGGCCGGGCAAGACCGGUGCCAGCCGCCGCGGUAACACCGGCGGCUCGAGUGGUAACCGUUAUUAUUGGGUCUAAAGGGUCUGUAGCCGGCCGGAUAAGUCUCUUGAGAAAUCUGUCAGCUCAACUGUCAGGCUUUCAGGAGAUACUGUCUGGCUCGAGGCCGGGAGAGGUGAGAGGUACUUCAGGGGUAGGGGUGAAAUCUUGUAAUCCUUGAAGGACCACCAGUGGCGAAGGCGUCUCACCAGAACGGACCUGACGGCAAGGGACGAAAGCUAGGGGCACGAACCGGAUUAGAUACCCGGGUAGUCCUAGCCGUAAACGAUACUCGCUAGGUGUCGGCCACGGUGCGACCGUUGUCGGUGCCGUAGNNAAGCCGUNAAGCGAGCCACCU